CAAUUUCAUUCUCGGAGAGCGACUGAUUUCUGCCGUGGCCUGUACCCCUUUACUGUUCUGAGAGUAUACGGUUGAACUUGAUCUGGAUAAUUCCAGCGAAAGAACUUGUGCACGCUUAUAU
rnacentral:ncRNA from 20 species